GACAAACGCUGGCGGCGUGCGUAACACAUGCAAGUUGAACGCGAAUAUAUGAGAAGUGGUAACACGGAUUGUAUAUUUGAGUAGCGGACGGGUGAGUACAACAUGAGAACCUAUCCUUCAAAGGGGGACAACGUUUGGAAACGGACGCUAAUACCCCCUAAGCCGAGAGGUUAAAGCAGCAAUGCGAUGGAGGAGGGGCUCGUGUCCUAUCAGCUGGUUGGUGGGGUAAUGGCCUACCAAGGCGACGACGGGUAGCCGGCCUGAGAGGGUGUACGGCCACACUGGAACUGAGAUACGGUCCAGACUCCUACGGGAGGCAGCAGUGGGGAAUAUUGGGCAAUGGGAGAAAUCCUGACCCAGCGACGCCGCGUGAACGAAGACGGCCUUCGGGUUGUAAAGUUCUUUUAUGUGGGAAGAAAACAAUGACGGUACCACAUGAAUAAGCCCCGGCUAACUACGUGCCAGCAGCCGCGGUAA
rnacentral:rRNA from 1 species